rnacentral:ribozyme from 12 species
UGCAAAAGUAACAGAACCAACAAACAAACAAACUAAGCGCAAAAAAAGCAAUGCAGUCUAUAUAUAUAUUUAUUUGCGUUUUUUAAUUAUUUUAUUAUUGUGUCAUGGUUCAUAUCCCUCUUCUUCCAUUAAUUGAAUAAU